GGUACGGUCUUUUUUUUUUUUUAGUUUUAUUCAUUUCAAACGGGCUGGAUCCGGCCCGUGGGCCGUAGUUUUCCCACGGCUGAUCUAAAUGAAAUCCACAGAGAGGUGU